UGAGGAAUAUUGGACAAUGGGCGCAAGCNUGAUCCAGCCAUGCCGCGUGCAGGAUGACGGUCNUAUGGAUUGUAAACUGCUUUUAUACAGGAAGAAACACUUCCGACGUGUCGGAGCUUGACGGUACUGUAAGNAUAAGGAUCGGCUAACUCCGUGNCAGCAGCCGNCGGUNAUACGGNNGAUCCANGCGUUAUCCGGAAUCAUUGGGUUUAAAGGGUCCGUAGGCGGUUNUGGUAAGUCAGUGGUGAAAGCCCAUCGCUCAACGGUGGAACGGCCAUUGAUACUGCCAGACUUGAAUUACUGGGAAGUAACUAGAAUAUGUAGUGUAGCGGUGAAAUGCUUAGAGAUNACAUGGAAUACCAAUUGCGAAGGCAGGUUACUACCAGUGGAUUGACGCUGAUGGACGAAAGCGUGGGUAGCGAACAGGAUUAGAUACCCUGGUAGUCCACGCCGUAAACGAUGGAUACUAGCUGUUGGANGUAACUUCAGUGGCUAAGCGNAAGUGAUAAGUAUCCCACCUGGGGAGUACG
rnacentral:rRNA from 1 species